rnacentral:rRNA from 1 species
UACGUAGGUGACCAGCGUUGUCCGGAUUUACUGGGCGUAAAGAGCGCGCAGGCGGCUGGUCAAGUCCGAUGUGAAAGCUCCCGGCUUAACUGGGAAAUUGCAUCGGAAACUGAUCGGCUGGAAGGUGGGAGAGGGUAGCGGAAUUCCCGGUGUAGUGGUGAAAUGCGUAGAUAUCGGGAGGAACACCAGUGGCGAAAGCGGCUACCUGGCCCAUUCUUGACGCUGAGGCGCGAAAGCUAGGGGAGCAAACGGG